UACGUAGGGGGCGAGCGUUGUCCGGUGUUACUGGGCGUAAAGCGCACGCAGGCGGUCUGCUAAGUUUGGAGUGACAGUUGGUGGCUUAACUGCCAAAGUGCUUCGAAAACUGACAGACUUGAGGGCUUCAGAGGGACACGGAAUUCCGGGUGGAGUGGUGAAAUGCGUAGAGAUCCGGAGGAACACCAAAGGCGAAGGCAGUGUCCUGGGGAGUACCUGACGCUCAGGUGCGAAAGCCAGGGGAGCGAACGGG
rnacentral:rRNA from 1 species